AUUUUAUCUGUUUAACGAGAAAAUUUGUAAGAAAUUAGGGUCGAGGGGGCGAAAUAAAAAAAAAAAUAAAAGUGCAAAAUUGGUCCAGUCGACACUAAAAAUAAAAAUAAAACCAUUACAUGUGACAUCUAACCAAAAGUAUGUUAAUGUGUGUGGAAUGCGUAAUUUUCCCUUUUGGGAUCAAUUUUUGUCUGUCAGCAGUGCCAUUCAUGCGUCUGUAGUCAUUAUCGCAAGAAUCCGGAUUUCGGUCAUAGCGGGUCCGUUUCCGAUGAAAUCCCGAUUCCGAUCCGUAGUUCUACAAAUUUAAAUGUCGGACGAAGAAAAAUUUACAAAAAUAAACGAUGUUUGAUACGCUAUUUGGAAAGGAAUA
rnacentral:lncRNA from 1 species